rnacentral:rRNA from 1 species
GAGUUUGAUCUUGGCUCAGGACGAACGCUGGCGGCGUGCUUAACACAUGCAAGUCGAACGGAAAGGCCCUUCGGGGUACUCGAGUGGCGAACGGGUGAGUAACACGUGGGUGAUCUGCCCCUGCACUUUGGGAUAAGCCUGGGGAAACUGGGUCUAAUACCGAAUAUGAUCAUCAGCUUCAUGGUUGGUGGUGGAAAGCUCUUGCGGUGUGGGAUGGGCCCGCGGCCUAUCAGCUUGUUGGUGGGGUAAUGGCCUACCAAGGCGACGACGGGUAGCCGGCCUGAGAGGGUGACCGGCCACACUGGGGACUGAGAUACGGCCCAGACUCCUACGGGAGGCAGCAGUGGGGAAUAUUGCACAAUGGGCGGCAAGCCUGAGUGCAGCGACGCCGCGUGAGGGAUGACGGCCUU